CUCACUUAGCAAAGAAUAACUAAAAUGAAAUUUUUAUAUUUUUUUGCAGUUCUCUGCUUUCUGUUGGGAGCUGCAUUAGCGGACUUUAAGAAUUAUCUUAAGCCGUGCUCUUCAUUUCGUACCAAGUAUAUGUAUAGCUCAGAGCAUAAGAAUUGCAUUGGAGUCGCCUGGAUCGACUGCAGUCGAAAGUCGGACUUCUUCGAUACUCUUGAGGACUGUCAAAGAAGUCACAAUUCGAUACAUAAUUCUAUAUUUUCUUUUCAUAUGUACUAAAUAUUGUUAAAUAAAAUGUUUUCUGGUUUGGUUUCUAUUAAAUAAUUGCAAUAUGA